rnacentral:lncRNA from 1 species
GGGUUGCUAGGGAUUGAACCCAGGAUUUUGUGCAUGCAAGGCAAGCACUCUACCAACUGAGCUAUAUUCCCCAGCUCCAGGAACCUCCAUCUUUUUUCCUUAAGGCCUUCAACUGUGUGGAUAAGGCCUACCAACGUUACAGAGUGUCAUCUACCAACAUUACAGAGUGUUAUCUACAUAAUAGUAACUGAUUUAAAUGCCAAUUGCAUCUAAAAAAUACCUUUGCACAAACAAAACUGGUGUCAACAAAUAUCUGGGUAUGGUGGCACAACCAAAUUGACAUGUAAAAUUAAUCACCAAAGCUAAUUCAAGAAUUCGACAACCUUAGGUACCUGAAUAAAGAGAAGGCUAAGUUCCCCUGAUCUUGCUCCAUACUAAAUUGGAGCUGGGGUUUUAGGAAGCCUGCAUAUUCUCCUGGCAAAAGAGAGGGGUGAGACCACUAUGGCACUUUUCUGUUGCAUUGCAGCCUUUAAAACUUUAAUACAAUGAAUCAAAGAAAAUUGUCAUAACAAAUAUCUAGAUAUCUUUUAAUGGUUUUCUCCAAGGAAGAAAAGGUAUCUUGUAUCUUGUUGGUUUUUCUAAUCCCAAGACCAAUUCUUUUGUUUAAUAAUUCAAGAAAUUGAAAGUAAUAUCUUGUGUUCCUCACGACUAAAACACUCAGGGUCACUCCGGGUGAACUGGGCUGCACAAAAUCACACAAGAGAUACUUUUUUCUUUUGGUCCUGGACGGCUCCUCUGAACUUAAGGGUCUGCAGAAAUAGAGAGCAAGAGAGCACAUGCUGAACCCCUUUUUUGAGGAGAAGCCAUUCAAAUGAGGGAAGGGAUCAGGUUUCAGGGGGUUGAGUCUAGCUUCCUGAUGUCUGCUGUCAGCAGGUUGAUUGACAUCUAGGAAGGUCAAACCCAAAGACAGAGCAAGAGAAGGGAACACACAAAAGGCAUUUCCAUGGAACAUUCUAUCCCAAACCAGG